ensembl:snoRNA SNORD115 Small nucleolar RNA SNORD115
UAGUCAACGAUGAGACCUUCUCUGGACAUAAGGAGAUGUAAUGACAAAAAUAAUGGUCAAUAGGCAUACCCUGAGGCCC